rnacentral:rRNA from 1 species
UACGGAGGGGGCAAGCGUUAAUCGGAAUUACUGGGCGUAAAGCGUGCGCAGGCGGUUAUGUAAGACAGAGGUGAAAUACCCGGGCUCAACCUGGGAACUGCCUUUGUGACUGCUUGACUAGAGUACGGCAGAGGGGGAUGGAAUUCCGCGUGUAGCAGUGAAAUGCGUAGAUAUGCGGAGGAACACCGAUGGCGAAGGCAAUCCCCUGGGCCUGUACUGACGCUCAUGCACGAAAGCGUGGGGAGCAAACAGG